AGUGAACGCUGGCGGUAGGCCUAACACAUGCAAGUCGAACGGCAGCACAGUAAGAGCUUGCUCUUACGGGUGGCGAGUGGCGGACGGGUGAGGAAUACAUCGGAAUCUACUUUUUCGUGGGGGAUAACGUAGGGAAACUUACGCUAAUACCGCAUACGACCUACGGGUGAAAGCAGGAGAUCUUCGGACCUUGCGCGAUUGAAUGAGCCGAGGUCGGAUUAGCUAGUUGGCGGGGUAAAGGCCCACCAAGGCGACGAUCCGUAGCUGGUCUGAGAGGAUGAUCAGCCACACUGGAACUGAGACACGGUCCAGACUCCUACGGGAGGCAGCAGUGGGGAAUAUUGGACAAUGGGCGCAAGCCUGAUCCAGCCAUACCGCGUGGGUGAAGAAGGCCUUCGGGUUGUAAAGCCCUUUUGUUGGGAAAGAAAAGCAGCAGGUUAAUACCCCGCUGUUCUGACGGUACCCAAAGAAUAAGCACCGGCUAACUUCGUG
rnacentral:rRNA from 1 species